rnacentral:sRNA from 1 species
GACACGGCUGUUUCGGUCGCUACCUGCAC